AGGUUUCAACUAAAUCCACACGAUUAGAUUCUAUAGUGAUCAGAUUUGGAGAGCUUCAAGUACGACUGGGGUUUUAGCUUGAGAUGCCGAGGAGACCUUCACUGAUUUAGCAGUAACAAUCGCUCCCUUGUAAUCUCGACAUAUACCAGCCAUGGCGCCAUCCACAGAACCAUCAACAUUAAUUUUCAGAGCUUUCUUCCUAGGUGGCGCCCAGGCCUUCAACUCAGUAAAGAUGUUUACCCUGAAAAAUGAAAUUGUUUUGGGCUUUCCAAAUGCUCCAUAAAGAGGACGCCACCAAAGACACAGGAAAAAUCAGCUCCUUCUACAGCAAAUUCCAUUAGCCAUGCCUCAAUCCUCGUGAUCUUCAUAUUAGUGUCAGCCCAGAUACCUUGAGUCCAGGGGCAAAGUAUAAAGAUGUGCUCGAUCGUCUCCUUGUCCCGUUGAUAGAGGGGGCAUAUUGGGUCGGGACCUCUUGUACAAUGAAAAUGUUGUCUUGUAUUGGCCGACCACACAUGAGGGCACUUUGUUCUUCAACAAUCAAAUCAGGUUGAUCGGGCGGUAUUCUUCCAGCUUUUCUGGGUCAGGAAUCUUUGGAACAAGAGUUAUAUGGGUUCUGUUUAGCCUUGGGUCGAGAAUUCCUGUUGCAAAGAAAGACUGGACAGUGGUGAGCACAUCCCUUUUUAUAAUAUCCCUAUGGUGUUUAAAGAAUAUACCAUUCAGCCCAUUCGGUCCAGGUGCUUUAGUUGCUCCAAGCUGAUAACUGCCUUCCGAACUUCUCCAUAGUCACUUCAGCAGAGGAUGAAAUGGAGAAAGAUUCAGAAAAUGAAAAAAGGAAAAUGACUGAUUGAUUGUUCCAUAGGCAUAGUACAACGUAUCUGCAAGCCCUUGUGAUUUUUUCAAGAGAGAAGUCUUCGGAGGCAGACAGGAUAAGUACAUUGUCGUGCAUGAUGAUGCAGACAUGGUGUCAGGAAAAACUGAGUGGAUCUCUAUGCAUUAUGGUUAAGGGAAUAAAAGCUAAAUCGAUGGCUCCAAGGGAAUACUUGCACUCUUCUUGAUAAACUCAAGUGCAUUGUGGUCGAGGGAUAGGUUUCCUGGACACAGGAAUGCAGUUUGCAUAUGGAAUCUACUCUGCUUUGAGGAUUUGCUAACUGUCCAUCCGUUGAGAGUUGAUGGCCAUUGGGAUAUCGAGCUCGCUGUCAAGGCUUGCAGCCACGGAUGAGCCACCUCACGAGCCAUGGACGAGCAAGGCUUGUGGAUGAGCCAACAUAUUUGUGCACGCGGUCAUGGUCAUGUUGGGAGGUUAGAAAUGAUCCUUCUUUUUUCUUUUUGUAUGAACUCCAUGUGGUUGUAUGUGGUCGGGCCUCGAACUCAAUCUAUGCGAGAAUUUCCCCUCCUGCGAUGCUUUUCCGUUUGGAUAUUUUAAUUCUGGAAAAAUUUUGCUUUCCGCUC